rnacentral:rRNA from 1 species
CCUACGGGAGGCAGCAGUGGGGAAUAUUGGACAAUGGGCGAAAGCCUGAUCCAGCCAUGCCGCGUGUGUGAAGAAGGCCUUCGGGUUGUAAAGCACUUUCAGUGGGGAAGAAAGCCUUGGGGCUAAUACCCUCGAGGAAGGACAUCACCCACAGAAGAAGCACCGGCUAACUCCGUGCCAGCAGCCGCGGUAAUACGGAGGGUGCGAGCGUUAAUCGGAAUUACUGGGCGUAAAGCGCGCGUAGGCGGUCUGAUAAGCCGGUUGUGAAAGCCCCGGGCUCAACCUGGGAACGGCAUCCGGAACUGUCAGGCUAGAGUGCAGGAGAGGAAGGUAGAAUUCCCGGUGUAGCGGUGAAAUGCGUAGAGAUCGGGAGGAAUACCAGUGGCGAAGGCGGCCUUCUGGACUGACACUGACGCUGAGGUGCGAAAGCGUGGGUAGCAAACGGGAUUAGAUACCCUAGUAGUC